GGCCUGGUGGUCUAGUGGUAUGAUUGUCGCUUCGGGUAUACUACGCCUGGACUCGGAAGAGUCUACAUGUGACAGGCCCCGGGUUCGAAUCCCGGCCAGGCCC